rnacentral:rRNA from 1 species
AUUGAACGCUGGCGGCAUGCCUAACACAUGCAAGUCGAACGGGGCAGCAAUGCCUAGUGGCGGACGGGUGAGGAAUACGUAGGAAUCUGCCCUUAAGUGGGGGAUAACCAGGGGAAACCCUGACUAAUACCGCAUGAUCUCUUCGGAGCAAAGAGGGGGACCGCAAGGCCUCUCGCUUCUGGAUGAGCCUACGUCUGAUUAGCUAGUUGGUAGGGUAAAGGCCUACCAAGGCGACGAUCAGUAACUGGUCUGAGAGGAUGAUCAGUCACACCGGAACUGAGACACGGUCCGGACUCCUACGGGAGGCAGCAGUGGGGAAUAUUGGACAAUGGGCGCAAGCCUGAUUCAGCAAUGCCGCGUGUGUGAAGAAGGCCUUCGGGUUGUAAAGCACUUUAGGUUAAGAAGAAGGCAUGUAGUUUAAGAGAUGACAUGCUUGACAGUAUUAACAGAAUAAGCACCGGCUAACUACGUGCCAGCCGCCGCCGUAAAAC